UACGUAGGAGACGAGCGUUGUCCGGAAUACUGGCGUAAAGCGCGUGUAGGCGGAUGAGCAAGUCUGCUGUGAAAGCUCCUGGCUUAACCGGGAGUGGUCGGUGGAAACUGCUCGUCUGGAGGACGGUAGAGGUAGGUAGAAUUCCCGGUGUAGUGGUGAAAUGCGUAGAGAUCGGGAGGAAUACCUGUGGCGAAGGCGGCUCACUGGACCGGUACUGACGCUGAGACGCGAAAGCGUGGGGAGCGAACAGG
rnacentral:rRNA from 1 species